rnacentral:rRNA from 1 species
AGGUUACUGCUAUCGAGGUUCGACUAAGCCAUGCGAGUCGAAUGUAGCAAUACAUGGCGUACUGCUCAGUAACACGUGGAUAACCUGCCCUUGGGUCCGGCAUAACCCCGGGAAGCUGGGGAUAAUUCCGGAUAACGCACAUAUGCUGGAAUGCUUUAUGCGUCAAAUGGAUUCGUCCGCCCAAGGAUGGGUCUGCGGCCUAUCAGGUAGUAGUGGGUGUAAUGUACCUACUAGCCUACGACGGGUACGGGUUGUGAGAGCAAGAGCCCGGAGAUGGAUUCUGAGACAUGAAUCCAGGCCCUACGGGGCGCAGCAGGCGCGAAAACUUUACAAUGCGGGAAACCGUGAUAAGGGGACACCGAGUGCCAGCAUCAUAUGCUGGCUGUCCGGGUGUGUAAAAUACACCUGUCAGCAAGGGCCGGGCAAGACCGGUGCCAGCCGCCGCGGUAACACCGGCGGCCCGAGUGGUGAUCGUGAUUAUUGGGUCUAAAGGGUCCGUAGCCGGUUUGGUCAGUCCUCCGGGAAAUCUGACAGCUCAACUGUUAGGCUUUCGGAGGAUACUGCCAGACUUGGAACCGGGAGAGGUAAGAGGUACUACAGGGGUAGGAGUGAAAUCUUGUAAUCCCUGUGGGACCACCUGUGGCGAAGGCGUCUUACCAGAACGGGUUCGACGGUGAGGGACGAAAGCUGGGGGCACGAACCGGAUUAGAUACCCGGGUAGUCCCAGCCGUAAACGAUGCUCGCUAGGUGUCAGGCAUGGCGCGACCGUGUCUGGUGCCGCAGGGAAGCCGUGAAGCGAGCCACCUGGGAAGUACGGCCGCAAGGCUGAAACUUAA